rnacentral:rRNA from 1 species
GACGGGGGGGGCGAGCGUUGUUCGGAAUUACUGGGCGUAAAGGGCGCGCAGGCGGCUUGGGAAGUCUUGGGUGAAAGCCCCCAGCUCAACUGGGGAAUGGCCUGAGAAACCACUAGGCUGGAGUGCUGGAGAGGGAAGCGGAAUUCCCGGUGGAGCGGUGAAAUGCGUAGAUAUCGGGAGGAACACCAGAGGCGAAGGCGGCUUCCUGGACAGACACUGACGCUGAGGCGCGAAAGCUAGGGGAGCAAACGGG